AGUUAUAUUCCAGUGCCCUAUAUUUUUCUUCCCCUUUUGCCAUAGCUCAGCUAUUGAGACACCGACGGAAAAUCGUUGACUUUUCAAAAGCCGUAGAAUAUUUUUCACCUUCGAUUUCUUACCUCCUUCUUUUAAAUUUUUGUUCUAUUUAGUUUAAGAAACCCACAUGAUGAGGUGAAACAUUUUAUUUUAUUUUCUGCCAAAUUAUAUAGUCUCGCUCUAUUUUGUAUGGUUUGUUUUCUAUAUUGUCCCCACUUAUUGAAAUGUCACCUUUCACCAACUAUUAAAAAAGACUGCUUCUUCAUCGGCAUUUGAGGUCCUCUAGUCCUAAUCUUCAUUCGCGGCUUCAUCGGCUUCUUUAAACUCAUCUGGAUCACUUGCUGUCGCCCACGGACGGUUCAAGACGAACAGCUUCCGAAUUCAUUCCCAUGCAACCAGUCUGAUUACGGGACGUAAUCUCACGCCGCCGGGAGUGAUGUAACGAAGCCAAAUAGACAUCUUCAACAUAUAUUUCUUCUCGAUGUCUUUAUUACUCAUCAAGGGUGAACAUAUUAAUUGCACCGCAACAUACGCAGCGCGGGUGACCUAGAUGAACACCUGCAAGAUGAUUCACGCAGGCGAUACGUCAUCAAUAUCACGCCAUAUUGAACGCGUCUUUUAAUUGGUCAACCGCGUGCAGCCUACAAGCUCCUCCCAAUCACGCCACUUUGCAAUAUGCAAAGUUCCGUGGUUAACCCAGCAUCUGAGGAAGAUCAGACUAGAACUUGCAGCCGAUUCGAGUAGUUGCCUGAAAGCAUUUCUAUUACUUUAUUAAUGUUAUGCUUGAAUUUGUGCCUUUUACUUAACAUUUUAUUCGCCGAGUCAGUCCAGUAAAAUUGUUUAGACUUAGAAUUAUUCGCGGUGAUUCGACUGUCUAGUUCCAUUUGUUUUGAACUAUUGUUUGUGUAUCGCUCUCGUGGAAGUUGCGUAUCACGCCCGCCUUGUGUCGUUUUUCUUCUCGUUCUCUAUACGUGUGAUCACGGUACAAUAAGGAUAACAAGUACGCUGACAUUACCAUCACCAGUCAAUCCGACGAGCGCAACAUCGAUGGCAGCAGCCAAUGGAACUAUGCCCAGUCUGACUACACUACCCCUGAAGAAUGUCAAGUUCAGAGGAAAAUGCAAAGAAUUACCUACGACUCUUACAGAAAAGAAACUAAUGGCGAAGUCCUAGCCAACACCACCAAAGGGUCAUCUUACUGGGUUUCCUCUGAAGGCCAGAAGUUUACUUCAACGUGGACUGCUGGAUUCCAGCCUAACGGUGAACACUUGCCUGUCGCUCCUGUCCAUAUCUAUGAGCUCCCAGUUGCUCCUGUUCCAAAUAUGAACUCCAGGUUGCACCUGCUCUUCCUUAUUCACAAACUGAUCUUGGCUAUUAAGAUUGAAAUAUUAAUGUACUAUGCAAGUUUAAUUU